rnacentral:rRNA from 1 species
AUACGUAGGUGGCAAGCGUUAUCCGGAUUUACUGGGUUUAAAGGGUGCGUAGGCGGAUAAAUAAGUCAGGGGUGAAAGCUGGUAGCUUAACUAUCAAAAUGCCUUUGAUACUGUUUAUCUUGAAUGCGGUUGAGGUAGCUGGAAUGGGUAGUGUAGCGGUGAAAUGCAUAGAUAUUACCCAGAACACCGAUUGCGAAGGCAGGUUACUAAGCCGUGAUUGACGCUGAGGCACGAAAGCGUGGGGAGCAAACAGGAUUAGAUACCCUGGUAGUCCACGCCCUAAACGUUGGAUACUAGAUGUUGGCGAUAUAAUGUCAGGGUCGUAGCGAAAGCGUUAAGUAUCCCACCUGGGGAGUACGCUCGCAAGGGUGAA